ACUGGCAAUAAAUUAAUUAUAAUUUCUAGUUAAUAUGCUCCACUUACUUCGGUUUAGAGAGAGACAGAGAGAGAAUCGGCAAAGCUUCCGUUUAGGGGCUGGCCAGAGAGAAUGCAUAUAUAUUAAGGGACUCGUGGAUAAUAUUUUCUUCCUGGAAGGAGUUAUGGUUAACAAUAAUCAUACAUAGAAUGCUUACUUCAAGUGCUCAAUUUCACACCUGGGUGACUGUGAAUAAUCAUCAUAUUCCUUAAAAAAAACAGGGAGGGAGGGGCGGAGA
rnacentral:lncRNA from 1 species